CGGGGGUAGAGCACUGUUUCGGCUAGGGGGCCAUCCCGGCUUACCAACCCGAUGCAAACUGCGAAUACCGGAGAAUGUUAUCACGGGAGACACACGGCGGGUGCUAACGUCCGUCGUGAAGAGGGAAACAACCCAGACCGCCAGCUAAGGUCCCAAAGUCAUGGUUAAGUGGGAAACGAUGUGGGAAGGCCCAGACAGCCAGGAUGUUGGCUUAGAAGCAGCCAUCAUUUAAAGAAAGCGUAAUAGCUCACUGGUCGAGUCGGCCUGCGCGGAAGAUGUAACGGGGCUAAACCAUGCACCGAAGCUGCGGCAGCGACGCUGAUGCGUUGUUGGGUAGGGGAGCGUUCUGUAAGCCUGCGAAGGUGGCCUGUGAGGGUUGCUGGAGGUAUCAGAAGUGCGAAUGCUGACAUAAGUAACGAUAAAGCGGGUGAAAAGCCCGCUCGCCGGAAGACCAAGGGUUCCUGUCCAACGUUAAUCGGGGCAGGGUGAGUCGACCCCUAAGGCGAGGCCGAAAGGCGUAGUCGAUGGGAAACGGGUUAAUAUUCCCGUACUUGGUGUUACUGCGAAGGGGGGACGGAGAAGGCUAUGUUGGCCGGGCGACGGUUGUCCCGGUUUAAGCGUGUAGGUGUGUGUUCCAGGUAAAUCCGGUUCACUUUAACACUGAGGCGUGAUGACGAGGCACUACGGUGCUGAAGCAACAAAUGCCCUGCUUCCAGGAAAAGCCUCUAAGCAUCAGGUAACAUCAAAUCGUACCCCAAACCGACACAGGUGGUCAGGUAGAGAAUACCAAGGCGCUUGAGAGAACUCGGGUGAAGGAACUAGGCAAAAUGGUGCCGUAACUUCGGGAGAAGGCACGCUGACACGUAGGUGAAGUGAUUUACUCAUGGAGCUGAAGUCAGUCGAAGAUACCAGCUGGCUGCAACUGUUUAUUAAAAACACAGCACUGUGCAAACACGAAAGUGGACGUAUACGGUGUGACGCCUGCCCGGUGCCGGAAGGUUAAUUGAUGGGGUCAGCGCAAGCGAAGCUCCUGAUCGAAGCCCCGGUAAACGGCGGCCGUAACUAUAACGGUCCUAAGGUAGCGAAAUUCCUUGUCGGGUAAGUUCCGACCUGCACGAAUGGCGUAAUGAUGGCCAGGCUGUCUCCACCCGAGACUCAGUGAAAUUGAACUCGCUGUGAAGAUGCAGUGUACCCGCGGCAAGACGGAAAGACCCCGUGAACCUUUACUAUAGCUUGACACUGAACAUUGAGCCUUGAUGUGUAGGAUAGGUGGGAGGCUUUGAAGUGUGGACGCCAGUCUGCAUGGAGCCGGCCUUGAAAUACCACCCUUUAAUGUUUGAUGUUCUAACGUGGACCCGUGAUCCGGGUUGCGGACAGUGUCUGGUGGGUAGUUUGACUGGGGCGGUCUCCUCCUAAAGAGUAACGGAGGAGCACGAAGGUUGGCUAAUCCUGGUCGGACAUCAGGAGGUUAGUGCAAUGGCAUAAGCCAGCUUGACUGCGAGCGUGACGGCGCGAGCAGGUGCGAAAGCAGGUCAUAGUGAUCCGGUGGUUCUGAAUGGAAGGGCCAUCGCUCAACGGAUAAAAGGUACUCCGGGGAUAACAGGCUGAUACCGCCCAAGAGUUCAUAUCGACGGCGGUGUUUGGCACCUCGAUGUCGGCUCAUCACAUCCUGGGGCUGAAGUAGGUCCCAAGGGUAUGGCUGUUCGCCAUUUAAAGUGGUACGCGAGCUGGGUUUAGAACGUCGUGAGACAGUUCGGUCCCUAUCUGCCGUGGGCGCUGGAGAACUGAGGGGGGCUGCUCCUAGUACGAGAGGACCGGAGUGGACGCAUCACUGGUGUUCGGGUUGUCAUGCCAAUGGCACUGCCCGGUAGCUAAAUGCGGAAGAGAUAAGUGCUGAAAGCAUCUAAGCACGAAACUUGCCCCGAGAUGAGUUCUCCCUGAGACUUAGAGUCUCCUGAAGGAACGUUGAAGACGACGACGUUGAUAGGCCGGGUGUGUAAGCGCAGCGAUGCGUUGAGCUAACCGGUACUAAUGAACCGUGAGGCUUAACCUUACA
rnacentral:rRNA from 1 species